ensembl:lncRNA
AUGGAGAAAAGUCUGGCAGUACGUUGCUGGUACCAUGGCUUUCAGCUGGGGCAGCAUCCUGUGAUUCACAGGGUAGGAAAUGACUCAGGCUGGAGAAAUGUUAUAGUGAAGAUUGUUGAUGCUCUUCAGGCUGACAGAAAAAGAAUUGCUCAAAUAAAAGGUGAGAGUUUCUGCAGGAAGCACUUUCUGAUGGGAAAAGGGUUCGCAUUCCAGGAAGGAUAACUAAGGAAAACUGACAGAAAAUCACGCAAACUAGGCAAAUAUUUUGGAAAAGGCUUGGCAAAGAGGGAUUAAUGGGAUUCAAGUCCCAGUGAAAAGUGGAAUACGGACAGGACUGAGAUAUAGAUAGUCUGGUGUGCUUUGGAGGGACCAGUCUGAGGAUUUCUCUUUGCAGAGAGAACGGGAAUAGCUUGUGAAACUGCACUGGCCCAUCCUGCUUAGGGGACUUGGAGUCGGAAGCAGCAGCAGAAAACAAAGGAAAUGAAACACAAGUCAAAAAAGAAGGAACAUUUUCUUUCCCCUUUCUACUCAUUAAAAAGAAAAAGAAAUUUGAAAUAUCCAACAGCAGGAAACAACACAGCAUGAAAAACUUGUGUAAUUUGACGGUCUUUUUCCUUACCUUUGUGAUUUGUAACAUCAAUGAUCAUUGCAAUGGAGGCAGCUUUUAAACUAUAACUUAUUUUCACUGAUUGUGGCAACUUGCUUCAUUACUUCUGUUAAUUUUCACUGUUUGAACAAAAUGUUCCUUCAUUUCUGCUGCCUAAAACUUAGUCAGCCUAAGAUCCUGAUUCACAUGCAAGCAGGGCCUUAGGUAUUUCCCAGUCCAUACAAGCGUGGAAUUAAUCCUAUCUCCUUAUAAACCCUGGGCCCUUCCACUAGCAUGGUGGGAACGUGGAGCCACUUCUUUUCUGGCUCUAGUUGACCCUACCAAGGUUUGGGGUAAAUUAGGUAACUAUGAGGCCUCUAGGUUUAGGAUCUUGGUGGGUUGAUGUGGCAGAAGUAGGGCUGAUCUGUCUUUUACACAGAAGCAGGCACUGAUUAAGUGGUUAAAAGCAACGCUGGACGGUUUUCUGGAACGGAAUGUGUCUGAAGGGUGGUGAGGAUGUUUGAUACUGGAUGAUGAGGAAGUUUUGCCAAGGCGUUGGUGAGGUCUCACUGUCAAGGAUGUUAAUGAAAUGUAACUACAGUCACCGUAAUCUGAAAGGAUUUUGAAAAAAAUCUUUGUAAGGUUAUUGUGCUCCGAAUGGUGUUAAAAUAUGGAAUUUAUGUAAAUGUAAAUGAACCGAUGUUUAGUUAUUGGAAUAAGAUACUGCAGAUGUAUUGUGGGAUAUAUAUAUAAAUGAAUGUGUAAUCUAGAUGAUUUGGGUUGUGAAAGAUGGUGCUUUGGCCAUCUGUCAGUGAUUUUCUUUUACCAGGCUACGGAAAUUGUGGAUAUGGAAAGAAAUAACAAUUUAUUAGCAAGUUUUGGAUUGUAUGAAUGUGUCUUGAUUUUUGUAAUAAAGAAUGUUAACUCUACUUCUUAAGUUCUGCUAAAGUAAGCCUGUGACUUUCAGUAAUGAUUAUAGUUUGGG